UGGCGCACGGGUGAGUAACACGUAGGUUAUCUGCCCCCAUCACAGACAUAACCUCGGGAAACCGAGGCUAAUAUCUGAUGAGGUCGUGAGAUCAAAGCUUCGGCGGAUGGGGAUGAGCCUGCGGCUGAUUAGCUAGUUGGUGAGGUAAUGGCUCACCAAGGCGACGAUCAGUAGCUGGUCUGAGAGGACGAACAGCCACACUGGAACUGAGACACGGUCCAGACUCCUACGGGAGGCAGCAGUGAGGAAUAUUGGUCAAUGGGAGCAAUCCUGAACCAGCAAUGCCGCGUGUGGGAUGAAGGCGCUUCGCGUCGUAAACCACUGUCGGACGGGACGAAAGGAGCUAUGAAGCUCUAGGACGGUACCGUCAAAGGAAGGAUCGGCUAACUACGUGCCAGCAGCCGCGGUAAUACGUAGGAUCCAAGCGUUGUCCGGAUUUACUGGGUAUAAAGGGUGCGUAGGCGGCCUUGUGCGUCAGAGGUGAAAUCUCCGGGCUUAACCCGGAGGGUGCCUUUGAUACGGCAGGGCUUGAGUGCGAGAGAGGAUGAUGGAAUUCCUGGUGUAGCGGUGAAAUGCGUAGAUAUCAGGAGGAACACCGGUGGCGAAGGCGGUCAUCUGGCUCGAAACUGACGCUGAGGCACGAAAGCGUGGGGAUCAAACAGGAUUAGAUACCCUGGUAGUCCACGCCCUAAACGAUGUAUGCUUGGUGUUGGGGUCGCAAGAUCUCAGUGCCGUAGGAAAUCUGAUAAGCAUACCACCUGGGGAGUACGAUCGCAAGGUUGAAACUCAAAGGAAUUGACGGGGGCCCGCACAAGCGGUGGAUCAUGUGG
rnacentral:rRNA from 1 species